rnacentral:rRNA from 1 species
AGGGUUCGAUCCUGGCUCAGGACGAACGCUGGCGGCGUGCUUAACACAUGCAAGUCGAACGGAGCACCCUUGAAUGAGACUUCGGUCAAAGGAAAGGAACGCUUAGUGGCGGACUGGUGAGUAACGCGUGAGGAACCUGCCUUUCAGAGGGGGACAACAGCUGGAAACGGCUGCUAAUACCGCAUGACGCAUUUUGAUCGCAUGGUCGAAAUGCCAAAGAUUUAUCGCUGAAAGAUGGCCUCGCGUCUGAUUAGAUAGUUGGUGGGGUAACGGCCCACCAAGUCGACGAUCAGUAGCCGGACUGAGAGGUUGACCGGCCACAUUGGGACUGAGAUACGGCCCAG